rnacentral:rRNA from 1 species
GAUGAACGCUGGCGGCGUGCCUAAUACAUGCAAGUCGAGCGAACAGACGAGGAGCUUGCUCCUCUGACGUUAGCGGCGGACGGGUGAGUAACACGUGGAUAACCUACCUAUAAGACUGGGAUAACUUCGGGAAACCGGAGCUAAUACCGGAUAAUAUAUUGAACCGCAUGGUUCAAUAGUGAAAGACGGUUUUGCUGUCACUUAUAGAUGGAUCCGCGCCGCAUUAGCUAGUUGGUAAGGUAACGGCUUACCAAGGCAACGAUGCGUAGCCGACCUGAGAGGGUGAUCGGCCACACUGGAACUGAGACACGGUCCAGACUCCUACGGGAGGCAGCAGUAGGGAAUCUUCCGCAAUGGGCGAAAGCCUGACGGAGCAACGCCGCGUGAGUGAUGAAGGUCUUCGGAUCGUAAAGCUCUGUUAUUAGGGAAGAACAAAUGUGUAAGUAACUAUGCACGUAUUGACGGUACCUAAACAGAAAGCCACGGCUAACUACGUG